GGGGAGUUCGAGUCUCAGUAGAACCACCA
rnacentral:misc_RNA from 1 species